AAAAUUACAACCUUCUCCUAAAAUCAUGAUUUCCUUCAUAUUUAACUUUUCCUUGUUGCAUCAUGGCCAUAAAAAGCAAAGUUGGUGCAAGAAAUAGGAUCGAAUUUUUCAUUGUUGUUGGGGUUCUCCAGAACGCCAAAUACAACUAAAAGCACAACAUUGGUCUUUUCAUCUGCAAAUUGCAAUCACAAAAAGGAAAAAAGGAUCCUGUCUCUUUCAUUUGUUCCCUUUCUGAAGAAGUUGACCUCAAAUUUGCAUCGCACACUUUUCACUUUCAAAUUGUACUGUGAUCUCAAAUUUCAAUUUACCUAACAUAAAAGGCUUUGAUUUUUUUUUUCUUAACCCUUUUCAAUUUGGUGCAAAAAGGUGCAGAAUUUGUGUGACUUAGGUUGUUUUGGCGGUUCUGGAUGGAACUGUGCUUCUCAUAUUGCAUUUGGGAGUCCCUAGUCAGAAACAAAUGGUUCUUACUCUCUUCCUUAAAUUUCCCUUCUUCUUCCACUCAUUUCUUGAAAAAAGUAUUCUUUGCAAAAUUGGCAUCACGAUCAAUCUUCCAAGAAUCAACUCUCUCCACGGUCGACCAAGCCUCACCAUCCCCUUUGUCACCAUUUGUUGCAUCCGGGGUGGAGAAGCCUUCUUUCAUUGCUGGGAGACUUAUGGAGAGAGAAGAAAGGGAGUGUUUUUAAGGAUAUUUUUGGAAAUUAGAAUUAAAAGAAUUAGGGGGAGUGCAACUAGUAAUAGUCUUGUGUACAUUGUUUUUGGUUGGUCUAGAGAAAUUCGGGGGCCAUGAAUCCUUUUACUUUUUCUUUGGGUACGCCACAUGAGCGUGGUGGAGAAGAAGGUGUGAAUUUCUUUCAUGCACAUGCAUGCAACAUUGAUAAGAAAUAAAACAAAUUAUAAUAUAAAUAAAUGUCACCGUGACUUACCACGGGCCUGGAACAGUGGGAUUAUUUCUUAUGCUUAUUGUUUAGCAAGAAAGAAUAUAGGUUUUAUGUUAGUCAUCAUGUAUUUGAGUUCAGUCCAACUUGUAUUGACACUAUUAUAGUAUUAUUCAUGAAGUGAUAUGAGUUUUUUAUUUAUUUAAAAAAACAGGUCUUAUUGCAUGUAGACCUAAAAGAGGACGUUUGUCAACCGGUUCGUUUAAGUUUAUUUUUUUUAAAUAAACAGUUUUAUACUUUAGUGAUGUAUUUGUCUAAAAUGUUUUUUAAAAAAUAUUUUUCUAUUUUUUAAGAAAUAAAUUUUAUCUACUUCUUAAAAAUUAAUUUUUUAUUUUUUUAAAAUAUAAACAAAUUGGCCCUAUACGAAAAUUUCCCUAAAAUUUGAAUCUCACGGUAGAAAGAAUAAAAUGUGUAAGUUGAAGAAGGCUUUCCUUAUUUAUUUUUUUUUCUACUGUUUCAUAUUUUUCAAACUCUUUUUUAGGUGAAUGUAUUUUUCAAACUCUACGCUUAUACUUUUUAUAUUCUUUUAAACAGUAAUUUAAUACAUUUCAAUUUUUUUUAGUUUUUCAAAAUUGAUCAUAUUUGUUUUUCUUCGUAAUAAAAUUCAUCCUGCAGCAGCAACGACCAAAAAAAAUAUUUCAUCCAGCAUUCUACUGUAAAAAAAAUAUUAUUCCAUUAUAUUUACCAUCAUCUUUCUUUUAUUCAUUUUUUACUUUUCAAUUUGUUUAUAUUCUAUAAUUUUCAAUAUUUAAAAAUAAUCUUAUCAUAGAGAAAUAUUGACUUAAUUAUGUUUUUUAGUCCUUAAAUUUUAGAAUAAAAUGUAAAUCCAUUUUUGGUCCCCCAAAUUGAAAAAUAAAAAGUUCAUUUUAAUAUUUCAAAUUCAAAAAAUACAUUUUCAAUCUUUGGAACCAAAUAACAUUAAUAGAUUUGGUGAUGUGGUGCUUUGAAAGUGAACACAUAUAUGUCAAACAUUAGCAAUGUCACGUCACUACUUUCAUUAAUUUUGUCUAGCUCCAAUGAUUAAAAAUGUAAUUUUUGAAAUUUUAGGGACUGGUUAAAAUGAUUUUUUUCCAAUAUGUGGACCAUUGAUUUAUUUAAAAUUUUAGAGACUAAUAAUAUAAUUAAGCCAAUAAUAUUUUACAUUUUGUUUUUGAUUAUUUUUAAAUUAGUUUUUGUGAUUAUUUAUAAUUGCUACAAUACCAUGCUUUGAUUGCUUUCUUUCAUUAUUGUCACGUAUUUUCAUCUUUUGAAAAAAAUAUUUUUAUUUUAAUAUUUAUCUUAUAUGUCAUGAUUGUGUUUGGUAAUACACUCAUGGAGUUUUGUUUGUCACGUAACUUUAUUUUAAUAGCUUAUUACUUCAAGUAACUUACAACUUACAAAAAUGAGUUACUUUUAUUUAUAAGUGAUUAACUUUUUUUUUUCUUUUUCAUUUAUAUCUCAUUAUUUGACUUGUGUUUUCUUUUUAACUUUUUUAAUCAAAUAUUUAAUUAUAUUCUUUUAUGUCAUUUUAUAUUCUUUAUCAAACUUAUAUGUUAAUCUUACAAAACAUUUAAAUCAACAAACAUAUUAUUUUUUAAUUUUUCAGUUAAUUUUACCUAACAUAUCAGUCUCCAACUGAGUUAUUUGACUGCUAUUAAACCAUUCACAUAUGUUCAAUUUUGUAAACUUUAAUUACGUUCCAGAUGUCCAGUUCUUAAAAAAAAUCAUAAAAAUUAAGCUUUAGAUAUUGUUAUAUGUCAACGGCAACAAACCAGUAAGUUAAGGACAUAUAUGUUUUUCUUUGAUAACAUAAUAGCCACAGAAAUAUAUAUACUUAUACAGUCAAAUUAUAUUUAUCUUUGUAUAGUAAAGUAAUAAAGUCAUUAUUUUUAAAAGUGAAAUAAUUUCAUAUCAUAUUUUAUUUUUUAAGAUAUACUAUUUCACCACAAAAUACUUUUUAAAACGUUUUUAAAAUCUCUAAAAUUAAUUACUUUUAGAAUUUUAUGUUAUUUGUUUUCCUUAUAAAUUUCAAUUACGUUUAUUAUUAAGUUAUUUUUUGCUUUGAAGUUUAUAUAUUCAAAUUUAUUUAAAGUUAACAAUGUCUAUAUGUACAAUACAUGGGAUUCUUGCUAUGUAAAAAGCAUGAGACAAAAAACAAGAAAAACAAAGUUUGAUAACAAGGGUUUAAUAUCUGUCACGAAAAAAUCUUUUUCCGAAAUUGCAUGGGGACCGAAGAGUGUAGGGUUUCCGUCAAGGAUGGUGACCUCGUUAUGUUAUUCAGUGGUCACACUUGAGUUGUUGCCUGCUACGUGUAAACUGGCGGCAACAAGGCAUGUGCUUCUGUUCACAUUAUGAUUAUUUUAUUAACUAUUUCUUAGCUUCAGAUGAUUUAUUAAUCCAUGAAUCACAUAUAUAUAUAUAUAUAUAUAUAUAUAUAUAUAUAUAUAUAUAUAUAUAUAUAUAUAUAUAUUAAUUCCACUUCAAUUGGCAUAGCCUAUAUAUAUAUAUAUAUCUAUAUAAAAACUAUCCAACCGUUGUGUUAAAAAUUUAAAUAUUUUAUACUAUUAUUUUUUCUCUCACUCCUUUUUACUAAAAAUAUCUUACACUACACCGAGUUUCAAUGCUAGUUUCUUUUAUAUGACAUUGAUCCAUCUUUAUGUUUGACUGACGAUAAAGUUUGUAAUAUUGUGAUAUUUUUAAAAAGAUUAUACGGCAUCAUACUAUUAGUAUUCUAGGUGAAGUAUUUAAAAUAAAAAUAUUGUAUUAUCUUUAUAUUUGGUUACAGUAGUGACACACAAGUCAAAAUUUCAUUGGUUAAGUAAAAAAAGACAUCAAAACUCUCUAAAAUAGCAAAAUUAAGAAGCUCUGCAGCAAUUUCCUAUUUUUUAUGAAUAAUUAUAUUUAAGUAUACCGAUAUUAUAAAUAAUUUAUUAACAUAUAUUAAUUUUUUAUCACAUUAUAUUACAUCAUGUCUAUAUUUUUCUGUUGAAGUCCUAUAUGCUAUUUUCUCAAAAAUAGCUUGCCUUGCUCGUCACUUACAGGCUGGAAAUCGCUAAUCAAUAGCAGGAAAUAUCCCAGUGAAACUUGUCCUUUUUAUUCUUCUCUGUUUGGAUUUUCAUAAAUUUUUCCUUCAUGUUCAUAUCAAAGAGGUUGAAACUAAUAAUUUAAACUAGUUCUAAUAAAAUUGAGUCUAUAUAUUUUUUUAGGGACAAUAAUUGAGAUAGAAAUAUAUAUAUUUAGAAAACUUAUUUUUAUCAUCUUAUUGCACUAAUAAUUUUGCUAUUAAAAAAAUGUGAAAUUGCCCAAGGUUGUUGAAGGUUGCAAUCAAGUGCCGAAAAAAAUCCAAAUAAAAAUACAUACUCAUUUUAAAUAAGAAAAAAAAAAUUGAGAACCUUUUUUACUUGUUACGAGAUGUGCUCAACAAUUUCGUUGCAAUGCAACUCAUUUUAUAAACCACGUAACAAAAAAAACACUCAUUUUACAAAAUGUUUCAGAGAAUUAAAUCAACAAAUAUGGAGAGAAUGUAUAUCAAUUAAACAAGUUUUUUGUUUCUCUCCUCCAUGGAGUGGUGCUGUUAGCGAAAGUCGUGGCAUGCAAAUGAUGAGUCUAGAGACUAUUCUACUCUACUCUUCGCUGCUGGAUGACUAUAAUUAGGGAGUUGUUAAGUGCUGUAGAAAGCUGCAAUAUAUUAUUUCACGGAGGAAAAUGUUGCAUGGACCACUCCAUAUUAUUCUACACCAAGGAAGAGAAAGAGAAAGAAAUAUAUGUAUGCAUGAGGAGUAAUAAGAUGUGAUAUAUAUGAAAAAGAAAUAGCAUGCAUGUACGUUGAUAGUGUUUGUAAAAUAGUGGUAUCCGUGUAUCACUAUUCUUUAAUGUAAUUGGUGUGUGCAGCGGGGAGUGAAGGAGGAAAGGUGCAGAAUAUUAAUAAUUAAGACUUAAAGAUAGAGAAGAUUCAGGAGAAUGAAGAAUAUUGCAGUGUGAUGGUGGUGCAUGUGCAACGGCCAAAAGAGUACAUCGUGAACUCUUUCAAUUUGUUUUCUACUCAAAUGUAAAAAUUAAGGAAGCCAUUUUCUUUUUUCUUUUUAAAUUAUUUUUACUUAUUCUAGAAUGUACACAAGCCAAAGAUGCCCUUGUCAACAAUGUGAAAUUUUGAAUUUGUGAUUCUUUGGCGUUUCUCAUGACCAGCCUUGGAAAUGUUAUCACUUCCCGCGGAAUGAGAGCCUGUGGUGUGUGCAAGAAAAUAAACAGUGUCCACAAACAAUUAUUUACUCUAGAAGAAGAAGAAAAAAAUCCCUUCCUAUUAAAAUUAAUUUCUUACAAUGGGGUAAGAUGCAGUAAUAUCUAAGACACAGCCAUAAUGAACCAAAAUACUACAACCCACAUGUUCACAAGCUUACAAAAAGAUCCAACUGGAAGCGUUAUCACACUCUUCACUCGCUUCCACUCAAUCAGAUUUCAAGAACAUGCACCUUACGAUUUGUCUUUAAAUAGCUCCCAUGUCCCUUCACCAAUUCCCAUUCAACAUCAAUCAAAAUUACACACAUUUAGCUACCCUUACUUUCUAUGGCUUCCAACAAACUCCUGGCCACCAUUUUGGUGCUUUCUCUCCUCUCUUACUCAACAUUCACUCAUGCCAAUUGCCCACCACCCACUCCAUCUCCAAAGCCCACACCACCAACUCCAAUACCAACACCACCCACACCAAAGCCCACACCACCCACUCCAAAGCCCACACCACCAACUCCUAAGCCCACACCACCCACACCAAAUCCCACACCACCUACUCCAAAGCCUAGUUGUCCUCCUCCUUCUCCUCCUUCACCACCAUCAAACAAAGCCUCAUGCCCCAAGGACACAUUAAAGCUAGGUGCUUGUGCUGAUCUCUUAGGACUUGUUAACAUUAUUGUUGGAACUCCUCCUUCGA
rnacentral:lncRNA from 1 species